rnacentral:lncRNA from 1 species
GUCCUACACCGAGAGGACUCGAAGAUACCGAUGCGGAAGUGCCUGGAUGCCGGGAUUGUACGCCUCGAUUCUAAGUCCUGAAGGGGGCGCAAAACAAACAUGAGUGGACCAAUUUGAUAUAAAUAUAAUAAAACAGUUAUCAACGUACUAACCCCCAGGUUUAUGAAAACAUAUAUAUAAUGAUAAACAUAGGUUUUCCGAAUUCUAGCAUGAUGCAGUAUCUCAAAUCAUAACUCAUAUAUAUAAUAAUCACUAGUGAAUUGUCCGAUAACCUGCAGGCCCCAUGCCGGCUCCCCGUCUUUGAGCAGACAGUCAGAGGAAAAUACACUUCAGGCCCCAUGCCGGCUCCCCGUCCCUGUGCUAAAUAGCCAGAGGGAAACAACUCCAGGCCCUAUGCCAACACCAAACCGUCGCCCGGGACGGACCGGAAUCUAUCCCCGAACCCUAUCCCGUAGCGAAAGGACCACUAGGUAAAUACAGUACAAAACCAUUGAAAAACAUACAUAUAUGAAAAAAACUUCAUAGUAUAAAGUCAUCCAUCAUCUAUACUAUAAAGAGGUGUUCGAAACAUGUUCUAAAUAUCAUAUCGUCAUCCAUCAGAUAUUCUAUAAGAACACGGGGGUUAUAGGAAAAAAUAGUAAAUAAUAAUAAUUCAAGGUAGUAGCCUCAGUAAGCAUGUUAUCUCACAAAACGUUUCAUAAAACGUAAAUAAUCAUUAAAUCAUGCAUUUCAUGUAUGCAUUUCUACUAUUAUUAAACAUGCUUUUGAAGGGGUCCACUCACAGUACUUAGCCGCCGAAGAGCCACGCAAACUAACGUCACCAAUAUUGCCCCUAAGCACAUAAAGGGUCCAAUUAAUAAAACUAUAUAAUAGCAAUUGGAUUUGGGAAAACGGACGUUGGAAACGGAUUCAGAACGUCGAAUUACCCUAAGAAGGGUCCCGGACGAAAACCCGAAAAGUCAACUCUAAAGUCAAUGUUGACCGGAGGUCAACGGUCAAAUUAGGUCUAACAGGUUUUAGGCUUGAAAUCCGGAUUAGGGUUUAGGUUAAAUAGGAUUAGGAUUUAUUGGGUUUUGGUUUUAGGGUUCUAAGAUUAAAAGGGUUUGGGUUAUAAAGGGUUUAGGGUGAAAAUGGGUAGUUUGGGCUUAAACCCCAAACACACACACACACCACAAACAAACACACACACACACACGGGCUGCACACACACAGCCCAUACACACACGGCCCAAAGGCCUAAUAACCAAAAGGGUUGGGUUUUGGGUUCUAAAGGGAAUGGGUUUUUAAAAGAAAAAGGGCUUAGGGCCCUGACUUGGAAAGCCCAAGGGCUUAAAAGCCUAGGGUUUUCUGGGUUGCUGCUCACGGGCCGAAGGCCCUGUUCCAAAUUGGCCCAAGGGGGAAAGGAAAGGCCGGAUGGCCUGGGUUUGUUGAAAGAGAAGGCCGGAAAUUCGGCCGGAAAACCACCUAACUUUAAACGGCCAUAACUUUGUCAAUACUCAACGAAAUCAAGCAAGACAAAAAUGAAAGUUGUAGCCCUUGAAGAGACGAAGAGAAUGGUACCUCACACGACGUCUAACUCGCCGUGGUUUGGCCGGAAAACGCCUCGAAAUCCGUCGGACUCGCCGGAAACUGGGUAAGAUUCAAAUGAGUAUAACUUCUUCAAUACUCAACGAAAUUAAGUGAAACAAAAAGGAAAGUUAUACUACUCGACGAGACGAAGAGAUUGAUACCUUGCACGCCGGCCAACUCGUCGUGGUUUGGCCGGAAAUGGCCUCGAAAGGGGGCGGUGCCUCGCCGGAGCUUACUCCGUGCCGUCGAACUCGCAGGGCAGGGUCCGGGGUUCGUUGCGAGCCUCUCUUCGAUGGUGACUCGGUCCUAGUGAGUCCAGGGGAAGAGAGAGAUGCGAGAGGUUGAGGGAGAGAGAGACAGGAGAGCUGAGAAGGAGAGAGCUACGGGAGGGAGAAACGAAGAAGAAGAAGAGAGAGAUCAGAACACAUAAAAAAAAUAAACAAGGUGGGCCCCACGGGCUCACCAAUUAAGGCUUUAAAACAAUUUUAAAAUAUAAAGGAGGGUUGGGGUGUUUCAAUCUACCACCCUUAUAAAAAAAUUUCGUCCUCGAAAUUUAAAACAACUUACUACACCGAAAAUACUUGAAAAUAGGAAGAAGAAUAAUAUAUAUAUAUAUGUAACGAAGAGAUCAGGUAAGAGCGGUUUCACAAAAGAGAAAAUGCCACGCCGUCGCGAUCGGCUGCAAUGAUUCCAUCUUUCGUGCCUCCAGGCUCAAACUUUUUUUUUUUUCCAUCAGUGUAAAAAUAGAACACAUACUUUAAUAAAAUAUAAAGUUGAAAACACAAAAUAGCUUAAGGCCAGAUAACGUCAAAAUAGAUAUGUACUAACAUAUAGUUCACAAACUCGAAUCAACUUAAAAAUAAAAACAGAAAUACUUUUCCAAAAACAUUUGUAACGUCAAAACAAUUAACUAGAGUAAAUGAAGUUAAAAUACUUAUACUGAAAACCAAAACUGAAAAAUGAGAGUGGGUCUCGCCCAAGAAUUCGAAAUGUCAUAUAUUCUGAGAAUAGAUGUGCCUUUAGGUCGAGUCCCAAGAAAUAAAAAUUCUGAAUCUGCAUCAGCUGCUGUAGACGAAUCUUCUUGCCCACUUGCUUAACGAACCCACCAAAUAAGCUAUCGAUAUCACAGUCUGCAGCCCGCAAUAUCGACCUCACAUUUGUUGUCUCGAUAGGCAAGUAGUAAUUUCUCAAAUGGUGUACAAUUUCACAUAUCGUAGGAUCGAUCCUCCAAAUACAAGUUCGCAAGACUUUUCAGUCAACCAGUGUUUUCCAUGAAAAACUAUCGUACCAGGUCGUAAAAAGUACCAUACACCAAACCGAACAAAACAGAAACUGUCGUCAUAAAACUCUAUCCAGCACCAAGCAUCAUAUCCUUCUCAGUUCUUCCAAAUGUGACCAACUACUUCAGAAUUUCACCAGUAAAGAACCCAUUUGAAAAUUGUACCUUGGGAUUCAAGAGAAGUGGCUACCAUGUUAGUAGUAGACCCAAAAGCUCAAAUCAAGCAAGCAGAAAACGAGAAGUCAUCUUCCUCAACACGCAGUAUCUCUUACGAACUGUUGUAGUGCUCAAUCCACCUCUCCAUUUUUGCUUAGUUGCAGAUUUCAAGUCAAACAAGAUCAAAAUUGGUGGAAAGAAGAACGACUCGCAAAUGGUCAUCCUAACAACCAAAGACCACACGCACAUUUCGAGAGAAGUGUAAAGAUUAUCCAAUUCUCGCUUCGACCGUCCUGUAGUGCCAUCUCAGAAUGCACCAAACAGAUCUGCUAGAAAUGUUUUAACAACCACGUACUCACAAUAAUAAGGUUCAGAAGUGGAGCAAUGGAAAUGUGCGUUGAGGCGAACACAUAUAGUUGGAAAAUAACCGAUGUGAUGCCUAUGAAUUCUAGUAAGAUGGUGAUACAAUAUGCUGACCUUCUGCACCAAAAUCUUCACCAGUCUCUUACCAAAAUACAGCUUAAACCUCAUACCCACAUGGAAUUCUUUAUGGUAAGUCUGGUAAGCUUGUGAAAAGAUUAUGCUCCCAACAUUCAUGUCCGAAUCAACACGAACUGGGUGCCCACUUUCACCGAAACGAUCGAUUGUGAAUUUCUCACUGGUUAGGCGAGAAACCAUGUCGAGAAGGCUAAAAUAAUACUCAAGAAUUUGAGGAUCAAAACAAGUCCAUAAAAAGAUAGAUUACAAGAAAUCAGGAUUUGAACUAGAAACCACGCCAAGAACAAGCUCAUAUUGUUCUGGCAUGAUUCAAUUUUAUAUUGAGAAACCAACAAGCGAAGGAAGAUAAAGAUGCAGAAAUAGAGUCAUUGUUUCUGAUUAUUUUGCAAAUCAUCACAGUAUGGUCAACUGGUUCUUAGCCAAAAGGAAAUAGGUCUAAGCUCAAGGAUAGUUAAUAACUGAUAAUAAGAUUUAACGAGGUCAAAACAUUACGAGAUUCACAAUACUUUGUGAGAGUUGUUUCAAAGUUCAGAAAUUAAACAUAGAAUCUCUGAAUCAGCAGAAUGACGAAGAAGAAAGAUACAAAGCAACCUGCGUAUGCAUGCAGUGACACGAUUGGCUACCUUAAAGUGAUGCUCUUGAGCAAACCAAAGCUCAAUGAGUCCAGAGAAGUUUAGAGUAAAGUUCGAUCUUCGUACAAUGAUAAACAUGGUAGAGUCUCAAGCCAUUACAAUGAAAAUUACAAGACUGAACAUUUAGGCUGCAAGCAAUAGACUAAGUUCACCUUCGCCAAAAAGUACGCAGACGAGGAAAUAGGGUUUGCCACCAGGUACCCAACCCAGGUGAAAUUCAAGGAAUCUGUUUAUCCAAACAAAACUGGAUAUUCAUCAUCCAAAUCCAACUACAACAACAACAAGAAUUGCAACUCAAUUUGAAAAUUAAUGAGAAUAACGUCUGCUACUGAGGAGUUUCUCAAGAUUUCAAUGUAGAGCCGACUCCGCCCGCAAUUCCUAGGGAACGCAUGUUGCAGAGUGGCAUCGCCAUUUCAAAUCUACAGCUGGUUUUAACCAGAAUUCCUCAAAUUGAGAUUUCUAAAACACGUCGCUGAGUAUCGAUCCGAUGCUGAAAGUCGUCCAACGAUUCAAACACGUCACCGAUGAGGCACAAUCCCGACACGAAUUCUUGAAUUUCAACAAGAAGGUGACAAUUCAAUCAGAGAGAGAUUCACACAACUGCACCGACUGGCACAAAAUCCGGAAGUCGUGACAUCCAAAUGAUGUCAAAACCAACACUUUAAGAGAAUAGAAAAGAACCCUAAGUAUGCUCUGAACAAACCACGCUCUGAAACCAAUCUGACACGCCCCGAUCCCGAUAUUUCCCCGAAUACCAGGAUAGGCACGUGCUGGCCGACACCAGAGGGUGACGAAAGCCAUUUAUUGAGUGCAAAUGCCGAACAAUGAAUAAUGAAUAUGCAUUUAAGGAACGUGUUCAGAGCACACAUCUAAUCUAGAACAUUAAAAGAAUUAAUGUAAAAAUUUAAUGAACACAGAAGUGGGUCCUACACCGAGAGGACUCGAAGAUACCGAUGCGGAAGUGCCUGGAUGCCGGGAUUGUACGCCUCGAUUCUAAGUCCUGAAGGGGGCGCAAAACAAACAUGAGUGGACCAAUUUGAUAUAAAUAUAAUAAAACAGUUAUCAACGUACUAACCCCCAGGUUUAUGAAACAUAUAUAUAAUGAUAAACAUAGGUUUUCCGAAUUCUAGCAUGAUGUGCAGUAUCUCAAAUCAUAACUCAUAUAUAAUAAUCACUAGUGAAUUGUCCGAUAACCUGCAGGCCCCAUGCCGGCUCCCCGUCUUUGAGCAGACAGUCAGAGGAAAAUACACUUCAGGCCCCAUGCCGGCUCCCC